GGAGGAGGACGAAGAGGAGGAUACUGCUGCACAAACUGUGUUCAGAUUUAGAGGCAACAAUGUGAUGACUCCUGCAGCAACCAAUCCAGCAAAUCGUCGACUGAUUAGGACACAUGGGGAUUGGCAGUGGGACGAUAUUUGUUGGGAGGGAAAAAAUAGGUUAAGACCUGUGAAUGCAACAUUG